rnacentral:rRNA from 1 species
GUGGGGAAUCUUGCGCAAUGGGCGAAAGCCUGACGCAGCCAUGCCGCGUGAAUGAUGAAGGUCUUAGGAUUGUAAAAUUCUUUCACCGGGGACGAUAAUGACGGUACCCGGAGAAGAAGCUCCGGCUAACUUCGUGCCAGCAGCCGCGGUAAUACGAAGGGGGCUAGCGUUGCUCGGAAUUACUGGGCGUAAAGGGCGCGUAGGCGGACAGCUUAGUCAGAGGUGAAAGCCCAGGGCUCAACCUUGGAAUUGCCUUUGAUACUGGCUGUCUUGAGUUUGGGAGAGGUGAGUGGAAAUCCGAGUGUAGAGGUGAAAUUCGUAGAUAUUCGGAAGAACACCAGUGGCGAAGGCGACUCACUGGCCCAAUACUGACGCUGAGGCGCGAAAGCGUGGGGAGCAAACAGGAUUAGAAACCCGGGUAGUCC